rnacentral:rRNA from 1 species
GACGAACGCUGGCGGCGUGCUUAACACAUGCAAGUCGAACGGAAAGGCCCUGCUUUUGUGGGGUGCUCGAGUGGCGAACGGGUGAGUAACACGUGAGUAACCUGCCCUUGACUUUGGGUUAACUUCAGGAAACUGGGGCUAAUACCGGAUAGGAGCUCCUGCUGCAUGGUGGGGGUUGGAAAGUUUCGGCGGUUGGGGAUGGACUCGCGGCUUAUCAGCUUGUUGGGGGGGUAGUGGCUUACCAAGGCUUUGACGGGUAGCCGGCCUGAGAGGGUGACCGGCCACAUUGGGACUGAGAUACGGCCCAGACUCCUACGGGAGGCAGCAGUGGGGAAUAUUGCACAAUGGGCGGAAGCCUGAUGCAGCAACGCCGCGUGCGGGAUGACGGCCUUCGGGUUGUAAACCGCUUUCGCCUGUGACGAAGCGUGAGUGACGGUAAUGGGUAAAGAAGCACCGGCUAACUACGUG